UGUUCUGUGGCUUAGUUGGUUAAAGCGCCGGUCUAGCGAAUACGGAGUCGUGGGUUUGAAUCUCACCAGAACGC
rnacentral:tRNA from 1 species